UCCUAAAAGGUUUACGAUUCCCAUCAUGCAUUAUGCAUGCAAUAUGCAUUUGAGUGCAUUGCAUGAGUUAUUUGGUAUAUAAACGCCUGCCGGAGACUCAGUUGUGGAAUUAUUUUCGAAGUAAAAUUUCAAAAAUGAGAGGUCUGCUGGUUCUGGUCCUAACGUUGGCUCUGAUGACUGGAAGUGCCCUGGGCUCUCUAGCAUUUUGGCAGGCUUUGCUGGGAGGAGGAUCCAGCGCUGGAGCUGGAGCCAGGGCUUCUGCGAU